rnacentral:rRNA from 1 species
GAUGAACGCUGGCGGCGUGCCUAAUACAUGCAAGUCGAGCGAACAGAUGAGGAGCUUGCUCCUCUGACGUUAGCGGCGGACGGGUGAGUAACACGUGGAUAACCUACCUCUAAGACUGGGAUAACUUCGGGAAACCGGAGCUAAUACCGGAUCAUAUAUCGAACCGCAUGGUUCAAUAGUGAAAGACGCUUUUGCUGUCACUUAUAGAUGGUUCCGCGCCGCAUUAGCUAGUUGGUAAGGUAACGGCUUACCAAGGCAACGAUGCGUAGCCGACCUGAGAGGGUGAUCAGCCACACUGGAACUGAGACACGGUCCAGACUCCUACGGGAGGCAGCAGUGGGGAAUAUUCCACAAUGGGCGAAAGCCUGACGGAGCAACGCCGCGUGAGUGAAGAAGGUCUUCGGGUCGUAAAGCUCUUUUAUUAGGGAAGAACAAAUGUAUAAGAAACUAUGCACGUCUUGACGGUACCUAAAGAGAAAGCCACGGCUAACUACGUG